rnacentral:rRNA from 1 species
UACAGAGGGUGCGAGCGUUGUCCGGAUUUAUUGGGCGUAAAGGGCUCGUAGGCGGCGUGUCGCGUCGGGAGUGAAAGCCCGUUGCUUAACGGCGGGUUGGCUUUCGGUACGGGCAUGCUGGAGUGCGGCAGGGGAGACUGGAAUUCCUGGUGUAGCGGUGGAAUGCGCAGAUAUCAGGAGGAACACCGGUGGCGAAGGCAGCCCCCCUGGGCUAACACUGACGCUCAGGCACGAAAGCGUGGGGAGCAAACAGG